rnacentral:rRNA from 1 species
UACCAGCACCCCGAGUGGUCGGGACGAUUAUUGGGCCUAAAGCAUCCGUAGCCGGUCCUGCAAGUCUUUCGUUAAAUCCAGCUGCUCAACAGAUGGGCUGCGGGAGAUACUACAGGGCUAGGAGGCGGGAGAGGCAAGCGGUACUUUAUGGGUAGGGGUAAAAUCCGCUGAUCCAUAGAAGACCACCAGUGGCGAAGGCGGCUUGCCAGAACGCGCUCGACGGUGAGGGAUGAAAGCUGGGGGAGCAAACCGG